UGACAUGUGUUUAACGGCCGCGGUAUUUUAACCGUGCGAAGGUAGCGUAAUCACUUGUCUUUUAAAUGGAGACCUGUAUGAAUGGUGUGACGAGGGCUUAGCUGUCUCCUGUUCUUAGUCAAUGAAAUUGAUCUCCCCGUGCAGAAGCGGGGAUACUAACAUAAGACGAGAAGACCCCAUGGAGCUUAAGAUAAUAAGUAGCCCUUGUUAAAUGGCUCAGAGUGACAUGAGUCGGAGGUUGAGGUGUUCUUUAUUUACUUGUCUUUGGUUGGGGCGACUAUGGAGGAAAAGAUAGCCUCCCUGUGGAUUAAGAUUAUAAGUCUUAAAGUUAUAACUUACGGGUUUAAGUCACAGAAAUUCUGACCAAAAUGAUCCGGUUAUUGCCGAUUAGCGGACUAAGUUACCCUGGGGAUAACAGCGCAAUCCUCUCUGAGAGUUCUUAUCGACGAGGGGGUUUACGACCUCGAUGUUGGAUCAAGACAUCCUGAUGGUGCAGCCGCUAUUAAGGGUUCGUUUGUUCAACGAUUAAAGUCUUACGUGAUCUGAGUUCA
rnacentral:rRNA from 1 species